AAGGACUUAGGUUAACUAAACCAAAAACCUUCAAAGUUUUAAAAGGAAGUGAAACCCUUCCAGUCUU
rnacentral:tRNA from 1 species